rnacentral:rRNA from 1 species
UACGGGGGGGGUAAGCGUUGUUCGGAAUUACUGGGCGUAAAGGGCUCGUAGGCGGCCAACUAAGUCGGACGUGAAAUCCCUCAGCUUAACUGGGGAACUGCGUCCGAUACUGGAUGGCUUGGAUUUGGGAGAGGAUGCGGAAUUCCAGGUGUAGCGGUGAAAUGCGUAGAUAAUCUGGAGGAACACCGGUGGCGAAGGCGGCAUCCUGGACCAAUAUUGACGCUGAGGAGCGAAAGCCAGGGGAGGCAAAACGGGG